rnacentral:rRNA from 1 species
GAUGAACGCUGGCGGCGUGCCUAAUACAUGCGAGUCGAGCGAACGGACGAGAAGCUUGCUUCUCUGAUGUUAGCGGCGGACGGGUGAGUAACACGUGGAUAACCUACCUAUAAGACUGGGAUAACUUCGGGAAACCGGAGCUAAUACCGGAUGAUAUUUUGAACCGCAUGGUUCAAAAGUGAAAGACGGUCUUGCUGUCACUUAUAGAUGGAUCCGCGCUGCAUUAGCUAGUUGGUAAGGUAACGGCUUACCAAGGCAACGAUGCAUAGCCGACCUGAGAGGGUGAUCGGCCACACUGGAACUGAGACACGGUCCAGACUCCUACGGGAGGCAGCAGUAGGGAAUCUUCCGCAAUGGGCGAAAGCCUGAAGGAGCAACGCCGCGUGAGUGAUGAAGGUCUUCGGAUCGUAAAACCCUGUUAUUAGGGAAGAACAUAUGUGUAAGUAACUGUGCACAUCUUGACGGUACCUAAUCAGAAAGCCACGGCUAACUACGUG